rnacentral:tRNA from 1 species
CUCCUUGUAGCUCAGUGGCAGAGCCCUGGGACACCGUGGCCGGUGUCACGUAUCCAGGCCCCCCGGUUCGAUUCCGGGCAAGGAGA